GACGAACGCUGGCGGCGUGCUUAACACAUGCAAGUCGAACGGUAAGGCCCUUCGGGGUACACGAGUGGCGAACGGGUGAGUAACACGUGGGUGAUCUGCCCUGCACUUCGGGAUAAGCCUGGGAAACUGGGUCUAAUACCGGAUAGGACUCCUGGCUUCAUGGUUGGGGGUGGAAAGCUUUUGCGGUGUGGGAUGGGCCCGCGGCCUAUCAGCUUGUUGGUGGGGUAAUGACCUACCAAGGCGACGACGGGUAGCCGGCCUGAGAGGGUGACCGGUCACACUGGGACUGAGAUACGGCCCAGACUCCUACGGGAGGCAGCAGUGGGGAAUAUUGAACAAUGGGCGCAAGCCUGAUGCAGCGACGCCGCGUGAGGGAUGACGGCCUUCGGGUUGUAAACCUCUUUCAGCUAUGACGAAGCGCAAGUGACGGUAGUAGCAGAAGAAGGACCGGCCAACUACGUGCCAGCCGCCGCAGUAA
rnacentral:rRNA from 1 species